rnacentral:rRNA from 1 species
AACGAACGCUGGCGGCAGGCUUAACACAUGCAAGUCGAGCGCCCCGCAAGGGGAGCGGCAGACAGGUGAGUAACACGUGGGAAUCUACCCAUCCCUACGGAACAACUCCGGGAAACUGGAGCUAAUACCGUAUACGCCCUUUGGGGGAAAGAUUUAUCGGGGAUGGAUGAGCCCGCGUUGGAUUAGCUAGUUGGUGGGGUAAAGGCCUACCAAGGCGACGAUCCAUAGCUGGUCUGAGAGGAUGAUCAGCCACAUUGGGACUGAGACACGGCCCAAACUCCUACGGGAGGCAGCAGUGGGGAACAUUGGACAAUGGGCGCAAGCCUGAUCCAGCCAUGCCGCGUGAAUGAUGAAGGCCUUAGGGUUGUAAAGUUCUUUCACCGAUGAAGAUAAUGACGGUAGUCGGAGAAGAAGCCCCGGCUAACUUCGUGCCAGCCGCCGCCGUAA